rnacentral:rRNA from 1 species
GACGAACGCUGGCGGCGUGCCUAAUACAUGCAAGUAGAACGCACAGUUUAUACCGUAGCUUGCUACACCAUAGACUGUGAGUUGCGAACGGGUGAGUAACGCGUAGGUAACCUGCCUGGUAGCGGGGGAUAACUAUUGGAAACGAUAGCUAAUACCGCAUAAUAUUAAUUAUUGCAUGAUAAUUGAUUGAAAGAUGCAACUGCAUCACUACCAGAUGGACCUGCGUUGUAUUAGCUAGUAGGUGAGGUAACGGCUCACCUAGGCGACGAUACAUAGCCGACCUGAGAGGGUGAUCGGCCACACUGGGACUGAGACACGGCCCAGACUCCUACGGGAGGCAGCAGUAGGGAAUCUUCGGCAAUGGACGAAAGUCUGACCGAGCAACGCCGCGUGAGUGAAGAAGGCUUUCGGAUCGUAAAGCUCUGUUGUAAGAGAAGAACGGGUGUGAGAGUGGAAAGUUCACACUGUGACGGUAUCUUACCAGAAAGGGACGGCUAACUACGUG